rnacentral:tRNA from 1 species
GGGGUUGUAACUUAGUGGUAGAGUGCUUGCCUAGCAUGUAUGAGGCACUGGUUUCAACUCUCAACACCA